rnacentral:rRNA from 1 species
UACGAAGGGGGCUAGCGUUGCUCGGAAUUACUGGGCGUAAAGCGCGUGUAGGCGGCCGAGCAAGUCGGAUGUGAAAUCCCAUGGCUCAACCAUGGAAGUGCACCCGAAACUGCUCGGCUUGAGUCUCGGAGAGGAAGGUGGAAUGCUCGGUGUAGAGGUGAAAUUCGUAGAUAUCGAGCGGAACACCGGUGGCGAAGGCGGCCUUCUGGACGAUGACUGACGCUGAGACGCGAAAGCGUGGGGAGCAAACAGG